rnacentral:sRNA from 1 species
GGAGCUGUGGGGACGACUCUUCUGGAGGAAGCAGCGCGGGCUUGACCGGCGUCGGCCCGCCGCCUCCGCUGCCGCUUCGCCCCAAUCCGGUCCCUCUGACCCGGCCUGACCCGGUCUGGCUUGUUCGGGCUCAGCGGCCGCGAGGCCGCAGCUCCCGGUAUCUCAUUCAGUUGCUAAACUUAUAUUAGUUAAUUUCCACUGGCAAGUUUCAGAGAUAUUGGACAGAUACAAGUCCAAUUCUGCUCAACUGCUUGUUGAGGCUCGAGUUCAGCCUAAUCCAUCAAAACAUAGUCAUUACCAGCUCCAGCUGUGCCCUGGUGCAGACUGCCCCAUGGUUAUUCGGGUACAGGAGCCUAGAGCUCGCCGAGUACAGUGCAAUCGGUGCAACGAGGUCUUCUGUUUCAAGUGUCGUCAGAUGUAUCACGCACCCACAGACUGUGCCACAAUCCGGAAAUGGCUCACGAAGUGUGCAGACGACUCUGAAACAGCCAACUACAUUAGUGCUCACACUAAAGACUGUCCCAAGUGCAACAUCUGCAUUGAGAAGAAUGGAGGCUGCAAUCACAUGG